rnacentral:rRNA from 1 species
UACGAAGGGUGCAAGCGUUACUCGGAAUUACUGGGCGUAAAGCGUGCGUAGGUGGUUUGUUAAGUCUGAUGUGAAAGCCCUGGGCUCAACCUGGGAACGGCAUUGGAAACUGGCUUACUAGAGUGCGGUAGAGGGGUGUGGAAUUCCCGGUGUAGCAGUGAAAUGCGUAGAUAUCGGGAGGAACACCAGUGGCGAAGGCGGCUGCCUGGGGUAUUGCUGACGCUGAGGAACGAAGGCCAGGGGAGCGAACGGG